UACGUAGGGGGCAAGCGUUGUCCGGAUUUAUUGGGCGUAAAGAGCGUGUAGGCGGUCUGGUAGGUCCGUUGUGAAAACUCGAGGCUCAACCUCGAGACGCCGAUGGAACCAUCAGACUAGAGUCCGGAAGAGGAGAGUGGAAUUCCUGGUGUAGCGGUGAAAUGCGCAGAUAUCAGGAAGAACACCCGUGGCUAAGGCGGCUCUCUAGUACGGUACUGACGCUGAGACGCGAAAGCGUGGGGAGCGAACAGG
rnacentral:rRNA from 1 species